AUGUACUGGUACCGGCAGGUUAAAGGGAAGGGUUUGCAGUUCCUCUUUUAUUUUCAGUCUAAAACACAAAUAGAGAAAAGCAACCUUCCUGCCCGUUUCACAGCUGAGUGGCCCCAGACAGAGCGCUUUAUCCUGAAUAUUUCAUCUGUGAAGCUAGAGGACUCGGCUGUCUAUUUCUGUGCAAGCAGUUUAGACACAGCGCUUCAAAUUCACUUCGGAAAGGGAACACGACUCACAGUACUUGAAAAGGGCCAAGAGGUUUUACCCCCCAAAGUGACCAUAUUUGCCCCAUCCAAGAAGGAACUCAAAGAUCAUCAAAAGGCCACAAUUGUGUGUUUAGCCAGCGGCUUCUACCCAGAUCAUGUUAAUCUUACCUGGUCCAAGAAUGGCAAAAACAUAAGAGAAGGGGUAAAGACAGAGAACCCCACUCUUGUCAAAUAUAGUGAGACCAUGAAGACAUACUCGCUGAUCAGCCGUUUAAGAAUCAUUAAGGCAGACUGGCAGAAUUCAGCGAAUGAAUUCCAGUGCACCGUUGACUUCUAUGACGAAAACAAAAAAACACCCUAUAGUGCUACUAUACAGGGUGAAGCAGUUGGUGGCGGUAAACCAGGACAAGUGCCGUAUCUCAGAGACAGCAAUCUUGGGAAACUGAUUUAUAUUCUUCUCAUUUCGAAAAGUGCUCUUUAUGGGGCAUUUGUGAUGGGCUUGAUGCUAAGAAAAAAGCUGAAGCAUGAGAAGGCCUUUGACUGAAAACAUCUCCAUCACUUGAGUUGGGUGAACUUCAUGAAGAAAGAAGAACGCAUGCUUUGUCCCUCAAAAGUUCAGAGUAGCAUUUUGGCUGUUUUGUAAAAGUAGUUGUGCUUAGUCGUUGAAGAAUUCCCCUCUUUGAUUCUCUUAAAUGCUAUAUUUUAGUAAAAUUGCAAAGCAUCUUAGGGGGGCUUUGGUGUUUCUUUUUCAUUUUAACUGUAUUUUCUUAGAAGCAAGUAUGUUUAGAACUGCAGCCUCACCUUAUACUACUGUUGCUUUCAGUCCGAGACCACAGGAUGUGUGUUUAUUCAGAAGUGAGUCCCACAAGGUUCAGUGGGACUUACUCCCAGGUAAAUAUUCACAGGAUUACAAUUUUAAUAAUGUUGUUAACUCUUCCAUUGAAUUUAAUGGGAUGUAAAGUGUUUAAUUAUGACUGGAUUAUCCUCCAUUACCUUUCUUUGAUUCUCUUCCAUGUCCCCCUUUAAUAAAGUCACAGCACGUUUUUUUUAA